GGCCGUUUAGCUCAGUGGCUAGAGCGCUUCGUUCACAUCGAAGAAGUCGUGGGUUCGAAUCCCUCAGCGGCCACCA
rnacentral:tRNA from 1 species